UACGGAGGGUCCAAGCGUUAUCCGGAAUCAUUGGGUUUAAAGGGUCCGUAGGCGGUUUUGUAAGUCAGUGGUGAAAGCCCAUCGCUCAACGGUGGAACGGCCAUUGAUACUGCAAAACUUGAAUUAUUGGGAAGUAACUAGAAUAUGUAGUGUAGCGGUGAAAUGCUUAGAUAUUACAUGGAAUACCAAUUGCGAAGGCAGGUUACUAUCAAUAUAUUGACGCUGAUGGACGAAAGCGUGGGGAGCGAACAGGA
rnacentral:rRNA from 1 species